UACGAAGGGGGCUAGCGUUGUUCGGAAUCACUGGGCGUAAAGGGCGCGUAGGCGGCCGAUCAAGUCGGGGGUGAAAGCCUGUGGCUUAACCACAGAAUGGCCUUCGAUACUGUUUGGCUAGAGACCGGAAGAGGAUAGUGGAACUGCGAGUGUAGAGGUGAAAUUCGUAGAUAUUCGCAAGAACACCAGUGGCGAAGGCGGCUGACUGGUCCGGUUCUGACGCUGAGGCGCGAAAGCGUGGGGAGCAAACAGG
rnacentral:rRNA from 1 species